rnacentral:rRNA from 1 species
UACGUAGGGUGCGAGCGUUUAAUCGGAAUUACUGGGCGUAAAGAGCGCGCAGGCGGUCGUUUCAAGUCGAGUGUGAAAGCCCCCGGCUCAACUGGGGAGGGUCAUUCGAUACUGAUCGACUGGAAGGCAGGAGAGGGAAGCGGAAUUCCCGGUGUAGUGGUGAAAUGCGUAGAUAUCGGGAGGAACACCAGUGGCGAAGGCGGCUUCCUGGCCUGUUCUUGACGCUGAGGCACGAAGGCCAGGGGAGCAAACGGG